CCCCAGUCCACCUGGCCGUGCUGCUGCUCCAGUUUCAACUGUUCUGCCUAUUGUAACGGGGAGAACAGGCCAUGGCUCGGGUGGCUGAAGUCCUUGAUGAUCUUUUUGGCCUUCCUGUGGCACCAGGUGCAGUAGACGUCCUGGAGGGCAGGCAGUGUGACCCCGGUGAUACUUUGGGCUGACCUCACCACCCUCUGGAGAGCACUGAGGUUGUGGAUGCUGCAAUUGCUGUACCAGCCCUGUCGAUGUGGGUGGGAGCGUGUUCUCUCUGCUGUCUCCUGAAGUCCAGAGUCAGCUCCUUCACUUUGUUGACUUUGAGGGAGAGGUUAUUUUCCUGGCACCACUCCGCCAGGCCCUGAUCGACAUUGGAGGAACAAUGGUGGACAUCUUGAAGCAAGUGGGGACAACAGACUGUGAUAGAAAGAGAUUAAUUAUGUUCGUAAACACUCCAGUCAGUUGGUCUGCACAUACUCUGAGGACGCAGCUUGGGACGCCGUCUUGGUCGGAGGGUUAACACACUUAAAUAUCAGUGGAGGCAGCUGAACGGAGGACAGCUCAUAAUAAUGGCUGGAACGGAGCGAAUGGAAAGGCAUCACAUCAAACACAUGGAAACCAUUCCGCUCCACCAUUACCACGGGUCCAUCCACC
ensembl:lncRNA